AAACCAACAGGGAUUGCCCCAGUAGCGGCGAGUGAAGCGGCAAGAGCUCAGAUUUGAAAUCGUGCUAAUUUUUUUGGCACGAGUUGUAGAGUGUAGGCGGGAGUCUUUGUGGAGCACGGUGUCCAAGUCCCUUGGAACAGGGCGCCUGAGAGGGUGAGAGCCCCGUGGGGUGCCGUGCGAAGCUUUGAGGCCCUGCUGACGAGUCGAGUUGUUUGGGAAUGCAGCUCCAAGUGGGUGGUAAAUUCCAUCUAAGGCUAAAUACUGGCGAGAGACCGAUAGCGAACAAGUACUGUGAAGGAAAGAUGAAAAGCACUUUGAAAAGAGAGUGAAACAGCACGUGAAAUUGUUGAAAGGGAAGGGUAUUGGGCCCGACAUGGGGAGUGCGCACCGCUGUCUCUUGUAGGCGGCGCUCUGGGCGCUCUCUGGGCCAGCAUCGGUUCUUGCUGCGGGAGAAUGGGUGCCGGAAAGUGGC
rnacentral:rRNA from 1 species